rnacentral:rRNA from 1 species
ACAAACGCUGGCGGCGUGCCUAAUACAUGCAGUCGAACGGGGAAAGUCCUUCGGGAUGAGUACUAGUGGCGCACGGGUGAGUAACACGUAGAUAAUCUUCCUUUAAGUGGGGAAUAACCAGUCGACAAAGAUUGGCUAAUACCCGCAUAAGACCACAGGUUCUGCGGAACCCAGGGGUUAAAGACUUCGGUCGCUUCUAGAUGAGUCUGCGUCCCAUUAGCUAGUUGGUGAGGUAACGGCUCACCAAGGCGGUGAUGGGGUAACUGGUUUGAGAGAAUGGCCAGUCACACUGGGACUGAGACACGGCCCAGACUCCUACGGGAGGCAGCAGUAGGGAAUCUUGCACAAUGAGGAAACUCUGAUGCAGCGACGCCGCGUGAGUGAUGAAGGCUUUCGGGUUGUAAAGCUCUGUUCUCAGGGAAAAAUAAAUUGAUUGUACCUGAGGAGAAAGGACCGGCUAACUUCGUGCCAGCAGCCGCGGUAAGACGGGGGGGUCCAAGCGUUGUUCGGAAUCAUUGGGCGUAAAGCGGGCGUAGGUGGCUAUGUAAGUCAGGAGUGAAAGCCCUGGGCUCAACCCAGGAAGUGCUCUUGAUACUGCUUAGCUUGAAUGUGGGAGAGGGCAGUAGAAUUCCUGGUGUAGUGGUGAAAUACGUAGAUAUCAGGAGGAAUACCGGGUGGCGAAGGCGGCUGCCUGGCCCAACAUUGACACUGAGGCCGAAAGCGUGGGGAUCAAACAGGAUUAGAUACCCUGGGUAGUCCACGCCUUAAACGAUGGAUACUUGGUGUUGGAGGGUAUUGACCCCUUCAGUGCCGAAGCUAACGCGUUAAGUAUCCCGCCUGGGGAGUACGGUCGCAAGAUUAAAACUCAAAGAAAUUGACGGGGGCCCGCACAAGCGGUGGAGCAUGUGGUUCAAUUCGAUGCAACGCGAAAAACCUUACCUAGAUUUGACAUGUAUUGGAAGGAUCCCAGAAAUGGGUCCGCCCGCAAGGGCCGAUACACAGGUGCUGCAUGGCUGUCGUCAGCUCGUGUCGUGAGAUGUUGGGUUAAGUCCCGCAACGAGCGCAACCCCUGUGUUUAGGUUGCCAGCAUUUAGUUGGGCACUCUAAACAGACUGCCGAGCAUUAAGUCGGAGGAAGGUGGGGGAUGACGUCAAGUCCUCAUGGCCUUUAUAUCUAGGCUACACACGUGCUACAUAUGGUCGGUACAGAGGGAAGCAAAACUGCGAAGUCGAGCAAAUCCCAGAAAGCCGAUCUAAGUUCGGAUCGUAGUCUGCAACUCGACUACGUGAAGCUGGAAUCGCUAGUAAUCGUGGAUCAGCACGCCACGGUGAAUACGUUCCCGGGCCUUGUACACACCGCCCGUCACACCAUGAAAGUUGUUUUAUCAGAAGUCGUCCUAUUAACCGCAAGGAGAUAGGCGCCCAAGGUAAGACCGAUUGAUUGGGGUG